CCAAAGACCGGCUGAGUACGUAAUGGAGAGAGACAAUCCCUUCUUUUUUCUCUGUAUCUGUCAGACCCAUCAUCAGUGAUGAGAUCUUUAGGGAGACAUUCACCCUCUUCCGACUCGAGUUCAGUCUUUGAAAUCCAGGAUGUAUGUUAUCGCCGACAACAUCCCCCCUUGAAUGGACCAUGUUGCCAUGCUCAGGACCCGGUGUGGCUGGAGAAUGUGUGCUGAUUAUCUGGAUUUUCAGUACAUCUUGUCAACAAUGGUUCCCCAAGUCAAAGACCAAGCCAGCAUUCAGGGUCUACCUCCCUGCUUUCUCGACAGCAACCGUCGGCCUCGCAGCAUGAGCAUCAAGGAUAAUACUACAAUAGGGAACAUCUCUACCAUCAAACAGAAGCCAGAUCCUACAUGGGGAGGCUUGGGACAUGUUGGCUAAAUCUCGCUAGAUGCCCACUAAUGUUCUUUGCUGUGUCUAUGUCCCUUCCAGAGAGUAAGGGAAUCUGUGUUGAGGUUUGUAUUAGACAGAUUAUCCCUUCUUGGGGACAGACCAGGAACCCUCACCAUUGUCCAGUGGUUAAUCACCUUUGAGACUCAGUUUCUCCCUGACUCCCCACAACAUCAGCACAUACAGGCAGCAACAUGGGAAACUACAGUCCAAAAUUCUGAGUUUUGAGGAUGCCAACUGGUCUUUCCGUCCUCUGGGUACUUUCUCUGAGUAAGAAGCCCAUGUGAUGGGUAUUUAAUGUGGGGCAAAGUUAAUGGCUUCUAAUUUUUAGUCCAGUGACAUAGGAGUAAAAAGUACGAGUAAAAGAAAAAUUGAAAGAGUUAUAGUUAAAGACCAUGAGGAUUGGGAAGCUGUCCCGUAAUUCUUGGAGUGACAAGUUCGAUGUUAUCGCCAUACAAUCGUAUGUCAGUGUUUAAAAGGCUGCAAUUGUUAGUAAAUUACCCUUAAAUUGCUAUUU